ACGCUGGCGGCAGGCCUAACACAUGCAAGUCGAGCGGUAGAGAGAAGCUUGCUUCUCUUGAGAGCGGCGGACGGGUGAGUAAUGCCUAGGAAUCUGCCUGGUAGUGGGGGAUAACGUCCGGAAACGGACGCUAAUACCGCAUACGUCCUACGGGAGAAAGCAGGGGACCUUCGGGCCUUGCGCUAUCAGAUGAGCCUAGGUCGGAUUAGCUAGUUGGUGGGGUAAUGGCUCACCAAGGCGACGAUCCGUAACUGGUCUGAGAGGAUGAUCAGUCACACUGGAACUGAGACACGGUCCAGACCCCUACGGGAGGCAGCAGUGGGGAAUAUUGGACAAUGGGCGAAAGCCUGAUCCAGCCAUGCCGCGUGUGUGAAGAAGGUCUUCGGGUUGUAAAGCACUUUAAGUUGGGAGGAAGGGCAGUAAAUUAAUACUUUGCUGUUUUGACGUUACCGACAGAAUAAGCACCGGCUAACUCUGUGCCAGCAGCCGCGGUAAUACAGAGGGUGCAAGCGUUAAUCGGAAUUACUGGGGCGUAAAGCGCGCGUAGGUGGUUCGUUAAGUUGGAUGUGAAAUCCCCGGGCUCAACCUGGGAACUGCAUUCAAAACUGACGAGCUAGAGUAUGGUAGAGGGUGGUGGAAUUUCCUGU
rnacentral:rRNA from 1 species